rnacentral:sRNA from 1 species
GUGAAAUGAAUAGUCUGUCAAAAUUCAGGUGGGCCAGUGCUUGGUUACUGCUUAUGUCAAUCCAGCCAUUCUGACAUCCACCACCUGUAAAGAGAGUCGCUGAAACGGAACAAUCUAGCAUCGUGCCAGCGAACAAGAUUCUCCGGAAACACUCAGGGUUACUGGUUGCCUAGCUAUAAAUUGAAGUCUUCCUGGGCCACAGGCCUCCAUCUCUCUGUCUUGUUUGGCCAUGUGGAAUGUCUUCUGGUGCUACUGGACCACAAUGCUACAAUCAACUGUAGACCCAAUGGGAAAACCCCUCUUCACGUGGCUUGUGAAAUGGCCAAUGUGGAUUGUGUUAAGAUCCUCUGUGAUCGUGGGGCAAAGCUCAAUUGCUACUCCUUAAGUGGACACACAGCUUUGCACUUUUGUACAACUCCAAGUUCCAUUCUCUGUGCCAAGCAAUUGGUUUGGAGAGGUAAGCCUUUCUGGGUGGCCAACAUUGUUGUCUGCUUGUACACUCAUGGUUUCAAGACUUUGUGACCCCUACCUACCCCAGAUGAUGUAGUAAGCAUAAAGAUGCAAUUAUGCCUAGUACAGAAG